rnacentral:lncRNA from 1 species
GCUGCAGCAAUAGUUUGUACAGAUCUAUCUUUAUUCAAUAUUCAUCAUGAGGAAGCUGCAGCAAUAGUUUGUACAGAUCUAUCUUUAUUCAAUAUUUAUCAUGAGGAAGCUGCAGCAAUAGUUUGUACAGAUCUAUCUUUAUUCAAUAUUCAUCAUGAGGAAGCUGCAGCAAUAGUUUGUACAGAUCUAUCUUUAUUCAAUAUUCAUCAUGAGGAAGCUGCAGCAAUAGUUUGUACAGAUCUAUCUUUAUU